ensembl:lncRNA OLMALINC oligodendrocyte maturation-associated long intergenic non-coding RNA
UUUUUUCCUUUUUUUUUUUUUCCCGGGGAGUCGGCCUCGGGGCUCUGCUCUCCUACCUCAGUCUGCCCUACCCUGGAAUGGGGAAAAUGCGGACAUGCCACUCAGUCCGGCCGCGAACAGUGCUCCAGAACUCAGAGAGUUUUCCAGACGGGUGGAGAUCGCGUUCCCUGCCCGCCGAGGUCCCAUCGCUUCCCUGCUGGGAAGACAAAUGAGGCGCUUUAGCCGUCUCCACGGCCAGCCCCUCCCUCAUAACCCGAGAUUCUUUGUGGGCUCUUAGUCCAUAGCUGCCUUUGAGGUGGUGUAGACCUUGCUAACCAGGACGGCCCAGUAGGCAGAGCUCAUUUUUAUUCCUGUCUGCAAUCGUGCAAAAACGCCUCUUAUGGAAAAGCCAGAGCGCCAGGAGUCAGCAAAACACACUAAAGAUUGGGCAGUCACUGGGGAGAACACUCAGCCCGCCUGCACCCAGGUGAAAUAUACAGCCUUGUUGCUCACACAAAGCCUGUUUGGUGGUUUCUUCACACGGAUGCAUGUGACAUUUGGUGCUGAAGACCCAGGACAGGAGGACUCCUUUGGGAGACCAGUGCCCUGUUGUCGCCCUCACUCCGUGAGGAGAUCCACCUAUGAUCUCAGGUCCUCAGACCAACCAGCCCAAGGAACAUCUUGCCAAUUUCAAAUCGGGUUGUCAGAAUCUGCAGAGAAGCUUCCUCCAAUCUCCAGCCUGAGAGUUCAGGCCUGGUUACCAGCAUUCUAGAAGCUGAAAGAGGAGAAGUUCUUGGAAGACUAAGAAGUCCAACAUUCGAAAGCGUCUUACUAUGUUGCCCAGGCUGUUUCAAACUCCUGGGCUUGCGUGGACACGGUGGCUCACGCCUGUAACUCCAACACUUCGGGAGAUUGAGGCAGGUGAAUCUGAGAUCAGGAGUUCGAGACCAACCUGGCCAACAAGGUGAAAGCCCGUCUCUAUUAAAAAUACAAAAAAUUACUUGGGUGUGGUGGUACACGCCUGUAGUCCCAGCUACUCAGGAGGCUGAGGCAAGAGCAUCACUUGAGCCAGGAGGUGGAGGUUGCAGUAAGCUGAGAUCACACCACUGCACUCCAGCCUAGGCGACAGAGCGAGACUCCAUCUAAAAGAAAAACCAAACAAACAACAACAACAAAAAAACCCAUUUUGGAAAAGUUUGGCAGCUUCUUAAAAUGUUAAGCAUACACC